GAGUCCUUGCUAAUAUGAUGCUAAAUCUGCUGCUGUCUCAUCUGAGCUGCACUCCCUCCAGAUGUAUAUCUCGACCCUGCUGACUGGUGCAGGGACCUUGUGAUCAGCAUUGGGUUUUCAUUAGGUUUAACCUAGUGGCUGAAAACUUUUGCAAGGGAUAUAUAGUUGAUGUAACAUAGAAAAAGUCACACGAAACAACCCAUUUAGUGCUUCCUGUCCUGUAUAGCUGAAGACAAGCACACAGAAUCGCAGGGAUGGAAAUCAGCACCAUGAGACAGUAACCCCCCCCUUCUGUCUGAACCUGGCGUAAGCCAUGGCUCAAUCUCUAUACGCGCGCUGCUCUUAUACCAGUCAACCUGAGGUAAAUGCUAGAAUGUAGUCACCAAACAACUCUAACCAAGCAUGAGCGAUGUGGGUCCGGCCAGGCCAAAUCCAGAAUUCCAGAAAGAUUAGAUUGUUAAACAAAAUAAUGAUCAUAACAGAGUGGUUUACAUACUUUGAAAUGUGUCCGGAGUGGGACUUUAAGUUGUAAUACCACUGCCUAAUGUGAUAGUUUCUCUUCUUUUCGGAGUAGUCCUGUUCUAGUCUGAUCUGAUAAAGGACAUGUUGAAAGAUGAACCAGUGAAAGGAACUUGGGAUGAGGAUAGGUGGAGGAAUAUUUUUGUUUUUGGUUUAAUCUGCUCAACUCAUUAGAUGUAACUUCAUGGUUGAUGGUUUGUGU